GCGCCCUUAGCUCAGUGGAUAGAGCAUCGGUUUUCUAAACCGAGGGUCGAAGGUUCGAAUCCUCCAGGGCGCGCCA
rnacentral:tRNA from 1 species